rnacentral:rRNA from 1 species
UCAGGAUGAACGCUAGCUACAGGCUUAACACAUGCAAGUCGAGGGGCAGCAUGUGGUUGCUUGCAACCAAUGAUGGCGACCGGCGCACGGGUGAGUAACGCGUAUCCAACCUCCCCUUAGUAGAGGAUAGCCCGGCGAAAGUCGGAUUAAUACUCUAUGUUCUUCAAUGCGGGCAUCUAAGUUGAAGCAAAGAUUUAUCGCUAAGGGAUGGGGAUGCGUCUAAUUAGGUUGCAGGCGGGGUAACGGCCCACCUGGCCUACGAUCAGUAGGGGUUCUGAGAGGAAGGUCCCCCACACUGGUACUGAGACACGGACCAGACUCCUACGGGAGGCAGCAGUGAGGAAUAUUGGUCAAUGGGCGCGAGCCUGAACCAGCCAAGUAGCGUGCAAGGACGACUGCCCUAUGGGUUGUAAACUGCUUUUAUCAGGGAAUAAAGUGAGGCACGCGUGCCUUUUUGUAUGUACCUGAUGAAUAAGGACCGGCUAAUUCCGUGCCAGCCGCAGC